rnacentral:lncRNA from 1 species
ACUCUGAAUGAUAUGUUGUUAUCCUGAUUGCAUGCCUGAUGAGUUGGUUCUGCUGGUAUUUUGAGGAGGCAAGCUGUGGUUUUACUCCUGGCCCUGAGAAGGGUGAACUAGGCCAUAGCGAGGGCGCCUUCAGGAACAUCGAGUCAGGGUGCCUCACUUUCUAUUUCAGUCUGCGAGGUAAUGAAGGCAAAAAAAAGUUUCUACUCGCCCUGUUCUUGCAACUAAACAGAGAAAAACUGUGUGGUUACUGAAGCAUUAUGGUCUAUAGUUACCGAAGCAUUGCAUUUGUUGAGAAAGUGUUCCUUAUACCAUGUAAGUAGGGACAAUUAUUAUUUAACUAGGUACAAUUAAUAUUUAACAAGCCACAGUUGAUCAAGCAGUCAAUGCUUAAAUAUGCCCGUACUCUGUCGUAUCCAGGAUGGAGCUUUGCUAGCUUUUGAGUUGGAUUCUUUUGACUGCACCUAAAUAUGACAAGCCGACAGUAAAUGAGCUCAUUUUAAAAAACUGCAGUUUAAAGGAAAUUAUUACAAUAUGUAUAUCAAUUCCAACAUUGCUAUCUGAAGGAUGAUUUAAGGACUAUUUGUCUCUGAUGGCUUUCCCUGUUUGCCUCCCUUUUCUGUGAGUUGACUCUACAGUUCUAGGAUCUUCUCUGUAACCAUAAAUUCACAGAUUAGCAAAAGUAUAUAUAUACUUGCUAGACCUUCUCAUUACACUCUUUCACUUUUUUGGACUAAUACUAUCCUGUAUAGACCUAAUAACAGAAGACAUGGGAAAUGCUUUCGUAACAUAAUGUUUUUUUUGUUAGAUGCUCUGUUUAUUUAGUGUCGUUGAUCCAAAAACUUGAAAGUGUAGAAAUGUUCAUGCAUGGGACUAUAGAACCAAGUAUUUCUCGAUUUGGUGAUGCUUAAUUCAGAGUUCUUAUGCAUCAGAUUGGAGUGUUAACACAAACCUGUUAUUUAUUUCACUUCAUGUGAGUUAAUGCCAAAGCCUUUUUUGUGUCCCCUCUAAUCAUUGCAUUUGUAUCUUGAUCAUUGUAUUGCGAGAAGCAAAAUAUUUCUCAUGUUUUGCUCAGUGUGUCUACUUAUCUUCUUUAUUAUAUUAACUAUUUUUUGAUGAUAUUUCACAAGAAUGACAUUGUUAGAUUUAGAUUCGUCAGGUUUCAACACAUUUGAAUAUGACAGUUAUAUAUGCCUAUGCCUCUGUGCAAGUUUUACCCAAUGGUACAUCAGUGUUUCACUAUGAAUGACUUCACUGAUUGUUAGGAAUAUUUCUUAUUUCACACUGAAGUGUUUAUCAGUAUGUUGGAAGAACAUCAUAGCCAAUCAGAGAAUACAGGUGCUAGAUGUGCUAUAAUUACUCAUAUGUUGGCUGUUGAUAUAUGAGCUUUGAUGAACCUAGCUUCAGGAAAGUCGUUCUAUGCAUUCCAAUCCAAAAAUAACUUCAGAAAAUUGAUUUUCAUUUCUGAACAUCAUUCCGUUAUCGUGGAUAUUUCCACUCUGUUUCAUGUGCGAUCAACAUUUUAAGUUUGCUAUUUCAUUACUAACUCCACAUAGACAGAUUGACUGGUAGAUAGUCACUCAGUCACAGAUUUGCCUCGACUCCUCAUUGGGAAGGUGUUGCUGCCCCCAGCUUUGUAUAGGAACAUGCAAGUUCUGACAUGGACCUGAGAGCUGAGAGCAUGCAGUUUCGUCACUCACUCUCUGAUGGUUAUAUUAUAUCAAACCAAUUUGUGUCAAGCAUCUCUAUGAACAGGGAACAUUUUUUUUGGUAGAAAUUCCAGAUGAACUUGAUAAGAGAGCAACAUCAGGAUUUUAUGUUUGGAACUAUUGAAAUUAUUUUGCCUUCUCUACUGAUGGCGCAAAGAACAUGAAGAAUACGAGAUAUAAUAGAUAGAGCAAUGCAUCUUAUCACCAAAAGAUUACAGAGGACAGUUAUCCCACAUUUUGGCAUGGUGAUGUUACCGGACGGUGUUCUUCCAUGCUAACUAUAAUGCACCCACAUUUUGUAGCGACAGAGCUAGGACAUACUAUAAAUCUAUGAUAGAUGCAGAAACGUGUUCUUCUAUAAGCAUGUGCUUGUAACAUGGGCAUACUAAUAAUUCCAUCAUGCUCCCUUCUCUCUCGCUCUUCUUUUGAAAUCCCAUUAUAUGAAUAAUAACAUGAAAAGAAUGGGCGUUUUCCAGAGCUUGGCCUAAUUUAAUAUGUUCUUAUGGUACUACAAAAAUGUUAAUAUGUUACUACAAUGUAUUUCCAGAAAUCUCAUUGUUCAUUUACUGAAUAAUACUAAUUGCUAUCAUUUUAUUUUUCAGGAUACCUCUAAUUAUUUUUAAUGUGAUAUGUUUCAUUGCAGGGUGAUACGUAUGAAGGAAAAGAGCCAGAGCGGCGCUUGGAUAAAAGUCAGUGAUGGAAUUUGUUUGGCAUAUGCGGAAAUCUUGGUAAAGGUAAGUUCAGUCUUUCACUCGCUCACCAUGUUUUUUUGGUCUGCAUUAUUUUUCUAAUCUACAUUUCAGGAGUGGCUAUAGUCAAUGCUUUCAUGUACAUGAUUGGUAUGAACUUCUCAUCAUAGCUUGGACAUAUCUCUUUUCACACGCAAUCUUAUUUAUUUGAAAAAUAAGUUAUAUACUCUGGGUAAUAAUUUGAUGGUAGGCCAUUUCAAUAAUUCUAUUUGUUUCAGGCAUUGGUAGAUUGUGUUACAACUGAAGAGUUUCUUGUGCUAAUACUUGCAGAUCUCGACACACCCUGAACAAUGAGCACAUGUUACCAGCCACAUUCCACACAGGAUGUGUUCUUUUCAAAACAAAGAUACCCUGAUACAUGAUUAUUCCUCUUUCAAGUUCUUGAUCCUUGAAGAUACUUGCUAGGUUUCUAGCUGAUUUUUCGGUAGUAUAAGGCUAUAAGCUCGAUGUAUAUGGCCUGAAUAUGAUCUGAUUCAGAGUACAUUGUGUUCUGAAGCUUUUUACUGUAUGGUUCUCUCUUGAAAGAAUUCAAGCCAUUGUUCAAUGGGAGAGAAUAGUUGUAAUCCUCAAAUAACUGUCGUACCUAUUCAUCAGCUGACACGAUUGCCACCGAGAUCAUUAUUUUCCUUUUUUUCAGGUUUUCAACAUCACGAAUUUCAUACUUAUGGAGUGGAGCUACCAAAAUAUCUAUUGAGGUAAAAUCACUAUAUACAUAUUGUUUUCCCCACAUUGCAUCAGGCGACACACAUCUGUUGCAAAGAAAUAGGCAUCACCUGUAUGCUUGCUUUUGUUCGCUUCUAGACGGAGGGAGUAUUACUAGAUAGACACAUACUUCUUUAUGCAAUUCUUAAUUUAUAGAAGCAGAAGAACUGAUUAUGUGGAUUGAAUAUAUAAUCCCAUGUGUAGGUGCUAUCCAAGUGUUGUGAUUAUUUAGCACACACAACUUGCAGGGAGAUAACUCUAUACUAUGAAGACUUUAAAAUACGAGUGCGUGUCGUUGGUGUUUUUGAAACCAUCUUCCAUCACGUCUAAUAUUGUUCUAUUUCAUAAUAGUAAUUGUUCAGCCUUUGACUGACAUAUGGAUGAUUUUUGUAAUAUAUUUCUUCCUUCCAUAUUACCAGGAAAUAUGUCGAAGCACAGAAUAUAUUCCAUAUGCAGUAGACUAACAGAACGACACAAGACAUAAAAAGAGGAGUAUAAGUGGAAACCUUUCUUUCUCUUUAAAUUCUUGAGGAUGGUAACAUUAUGAUGAAGGUGGAACCAUAGAGAGAUGUGUAUUUUUAAUUGAGAUAUUUUCAGGAGUACCUUUGCAAAGCUGAUAUAUCUUUCUUUUACAAGAUAUGGUUGCACUUGCUUCAUCUACAUAGGCCGUCUGGAAUGCCAUGAGGCCGGGAUUUGUGUAGGAAAUCUUCAAAGCUAUUAUAUUGGUCUCAAGAAACUUGCAAUACAUCAAUGCAUUUUUAUUUUUAUUUUUUGCUGACACCACAGCUACCACCUCUUCACUAAAUGACAGAGGUUCCCAGCAGCUGCACAUGGAAAGAUUGAAUGUUAUAUUCUGUCUACUAAUCAAUAAGGAGGGAGAUCAAAAUUACUGCUCUCAAAUAUUCGCCUGAUCAUUUGUAUGUUUCUACAAUUUUCCUGCUUGUUGGAACAUGUUUGAUGUACUUACACAUUAACAAAAAUGAUCUGUAACAUUCAUGAAAAUAUUUGGGUUUGGUCCUCUGCUUUUUUUACUGUUUAUUUACUCAUGAAGAUAGCAGAUGUCCCUGUUUUUAAAUAUAGUUAUCUGUGCUUCCAGUUGGUAGAGAUCAAAGUAUUAACUCGCCGAUAUAGGGAAAUAGAGCUCUUUUAUAGACACUACUAGCAGUGGAUACAGGGUGAGCCGUUUUGAAAUUGUUUCAUAGAAUAACUCCCGUAUAAGGUCUGGUCUUUUGGGUAUACAAUCCUUUCUUGAGAUGAGCAUUGGCAGCUCACAUAAGUAUACAGUAGUAUAUUUGACAGAUGAUGAUGAUCAUUGGCAG